UGGGGAAUUUUGGACAAUGGGCGAAGGCCUGAUCCAGCAAUGCCGCGUGUGUGAAGAAGGCCUUCGGGUUGUAAAGCACUUUUGUCCGGAAAGAAAUCCUUGGCUCUAAUACAGUCGGGGGAUGACGGUACCGGAAGAAUAAGCACCGGCUAACUACGUGCCAGCAGCCGCGGUAAUACGUAGGGUGCAAGCGUUAAUCGGAAUUACUGGGCGUAAAGCGUGCGCAGGCGGUUUGCUAAGACCGAUGUGAAAUCCCCGGGCUCAACCUGGGAACUGCACUGGUGACUGGCAGGCUAGAGUAUGGCAGAGGGGGGUAGAAUUCCACGUGUAGCAGUGAAAUGCGUAGAGAUGUGGAGGAAUACCGAUGGCGAAGGCAGCCCCCUGGGCCAAUACUGACGCUCAUGCACGAAAGCGUGGGGAGCAAACAGGAUUAGAUACCCUGGUAGUCCACGCCCUAAACGAUGUCAACUAGUUGUUGGGGAUUCAUUUCCUUAGUAACGUAGCUAACGCGUGAAGUUGACCGCCUGGGGAGUACGGUCGCAAGAUUAAAACUUAAAUGAAUUGAC
rnacentral:rRNA from 1 species